UACGAAGGGGGGCUAGCGUUGUUCGGAAUUACUGGGCGUAAAGCGUGCGCAGGCGGCCAUCCAAGUCAGUGGUGAAAGCCCGGAGCUCAACUCCGGAACUGCCAUUGAAACUGUUUAGCUUGAGGAUGAGAGAGGUGAGUGGAAUUCCCAGUGUAGAGGUGAAAUUCGUAGAUAUCGGGAGGAACACCAGUGGCGAAGGCGGCGAUCUGGGUCGAUACUGACGCUGAGGUGCGAAAGCGUGGGGAGCAAACAGG
rnacentral:rRNA from 1 species